AAGGCAGCUUCACCCAGUUUUCUGGACUCUCAUGCCCCCAUCUCCAACCUGGGAGACUUCAGGAAGGACACCUACCUGGCCUGGUGGGGCUGGCAGGAUGGUGGAGGUUUCUCAAGGAGCUGGAGACCUUGGGGAGCCCCUCUUGGGGAAGAAAGAGCUUCCAGGAUGCGGACGCAGCACAGUGGAAGAGGCCUGCUCCACUUGACUGGGAACUUGGGCAGGAGGCACAGAGGAAGCCAAGGCCUGGAGCUGCAGGUCCCCCGGCACCUCUCCCUGUCCCAGCAGCCCAGGAUGGCCUGGUGCCCCCACCUGAUGCAGCAGGAGCCCCAAGGAGUGCUGACCGAGGACGGUUGCUGGGGUGGUCCUCAUGGACAGUGAGGUGUGCAGGGGUGCACUGAGGGUGGUGGGAGGGGAUCACCUGGGUUCCAGGUUGUCUUUGCUGAGCGUCUUUGAGCCUGCCUCCCAGUGGAAGCAGAAAAGGCCAGACCCUGCUGAGUUAGAGGCUGCUGGGAUCCACUCUGUCAACACAGCGGGAGGGCUGCUGGCAACAGGUGGUAGAGAAGUGCCAUGUUUGAGUUGAGUCUUGUAGCUCUUCCAGCUGGGGACUGGUGCUUGCUGAAACCCAGGAGCUGAACAGUGAGGAGGCUGUCCACCUUGCUUGGUUCACUGGGACCAGGAAAGCCUGUCUUUGGUUAGGAUCGUGUACUUCUGCAGGAAAAAAAGAAAAAAAAAAAAAAAGGAUGUGCCAUUGGUCAUGAGGUUUGAAAAGAGGAGGAGGCUGAAGUUGUUCCUGUUUACCCAGUAUUGGAAAAUAUUUGACCCCCUUGGCUGAAUUCUUUUGCAGAACUACUGUAUGUCUGUUCAUUACCUUUUCAGGUUUAUUGUUUUUAUUUUUGCAUGAAUUGAAAGUUUUAAUUUCUUUGCAGAUAAGGUCUAGAUGCGGAGUCAGAGAUGGUACUGAAUGGGGAGGGAUCAUUUGUAUUCUCAUGGUUGGCUCUGGCUUUCAGCUGAACUGGGACCACUGGCUGAUCACAUCACCUCUCUGCCUCAGUUUCCCCAUAUCUGUAAAAUGGGAGAAUAAUACUUGCCUACCUACCUCACAGGGGUGUUGUGAGGAUUCAUUUGUGAUUUUUUUUUUUUUUUUUUUUUUUUUGUACAGAGCUUUUAAGCUUUAAAAACAGCUAAAUGUGAGUGCA